GACGAACGCUGGGCGGCGUGCUUAACACAUGCAAGUCGAGCGAGAAGACGUAGCAAUACGUUUGUAAAGCGGCGAACGGGUGAGGAAUACAUGGGUAACCUACCCUCGAGUGGGGAAUAACUAGCCGAAAGGUUAGCUAAUACCGCGUACGCUUCUUGGACUUCGGUUCAGGGAGGAAAGCGAUGCCGAGGGUAUCGCGCUCUUGGAUGGGCUCAUGUCCUAUCAGCUUGUUGGUGAGGUAACGGCUCACCAAGGCUUCGACGGGUAGCUGGUCUGAGAGGACGAUCAGCCACACUGGCACUGCGACACGGGCCAGACUCCUACGGGAGGCAGCAGUAAGGAAUAUUGCGCAAUGGGCGAAAGCCUGACGCAGCGACGCCGCGUGGGGGGAGUGAA
rnacentral:rRNA from 1 species